rnacentral:lncRNA from 1 species
GCGAGGCUGCGCAUGAGUGAGGGGUUGUCUCAAGCUAGCUAACCCUGGGAUAUUAAUACACGUGGCUAAAAUUACAUUUAUCCUAAAUUACACUUUACCUCACUAGUUAAUGACAAGCAGAUGUGAGACAAGGCUGUCUAAGAUAACAACAAAUAAUAUAAUUGCAAUUUUAUUAGCUUGGUAACCCCAAGCCUAACACCCCCCUUGUACAUGAUAUAUGACAUAAUAAAAAAUAUAACCCCAAAC